AUUGAACGCUGGCGGCAUGCUUUACACAUGCAAGUCGAACGGUAACAGGCCGCAAGGUGCUGACGAGUGGCGCACGGGUGAGUAAUGCAUCGGAACGUGCCCAGUCGUGGGGGAUAACUACUCGAAAGAGUAGCUAAUACCGCAUACGAUCUAUGGAUGAAAGCGGGGGACCGUAAGGCCUCGCGCGAUUGGAGCGGCCGAUGUCAGAUUAGUAGUUGGUGGGGUAAAGGCUCACCAAGCCAACGAUCUGUAGCUGGUCUGAGAGGACGACCAGCCACACUGGGACUGAGACACGGCCCAGACUCCUACGGGAGGCAGCAGUGGGGAAUUUUGGACAAUGGGCGCAAGCCUGAUCCAGCAAUGCCGCGUGCAGGAAGAAGGCCUUCGGGUUGUAAACUGCUUUUGUACGGAACGAAACGGCUCUGGUUAAUACCCGGGGCUAAUGACGGUACCGUAAGAAUAAGCACCGGCUAACUACGUG
rnacentral:rRNA from 1 species